ensembl:lincRNA
GCUUCGAAGUCCCAGGCCAGGGUGUAUUUUUAGCCCAAGCUCAAAAAAUUGUCAGAAAAACUUGCAAGGGCUCCAGGGCCAACAGCAGCAUUUGGUUUUGGCUGAAACUAGAGGGACAGAAACCACAUGCCUCAGAGGGACACAGAAAGGGGUCUGGGGGCGGGUAGCCAGGAUGUCCUGGGGCCUUGCUGUGAAGAGUGGAGGCCUCUGUGGAGGACCCAGGAAGCUGGAAGAGCAGAUAGAAGUCAGGACGCUCCGCCAAAGUGUCCCCACUUCCCGACAAGUUCUGUGUCUCCUCUGCUGGAAGGGAGAGGGUCAGGCCAGAAGCUGCCAUGGCUCCAGCAGACUUGCAAAGGGAAACGGACAGGAUAUGUGCCAGAGUAAGCAGCCAGCUUAUUAUUUCAAAGCGUUCCUUCCUUUGAGAUUCUGUCCUCCUCACCGGCCCCCACUGGACUUAGAGAUGGAAGACCCGGAUUUGAGAUCCAGCCACACUGCUUGCUAAGACUGUGUGACCUUAGGUUGCUACAGAGUACUGAGCAGAGUUCUUUGUGCUACACAGUAGGGUACGUGCAUCCCAACGUCCAUUGCAGCGUUGUUUACACUAGCCGAGUCAUGGAAGCAACGUAAAUGUCCAUCAACAGAAGGAUGGAUAAAGAAUAUGUGGUAUAGAUACACAAUGGAAUAUUACUUCGCCAUUAAAAAGAGUGAACUAAUGCCAUUUGCAGCAACACGGAUGGACCGAGAGAUUAUCACACUAGGUGAAGUAAGUCAGAUGAGGCACUUUAAACCCUCAUACUUACUGUCUUUAUCAGAGUAGGAGGCUAAUUCUGCUGACUUCAUCUGUUUGUGAUGAGACUCAAUAAUAAUGAUGGAUGGGAUAGUGAUCUAUGGACUAACUGCUGAGAAAUGCUUGUAAAGUGCUCUGACCAUUUCUUAGUACCAUCAUUAAAAUAAUCAUGAUUAUAAUGACCUGUUUAAGGGGAAACAACCAGCUUUGUUUUCAGACUUAGAUUUAAAUCUUGGCUCUGCUAUAUAUUAGCUGUGUAACUUUGAGCAAAAGAUUAUUAAAUUUAUCUAUGCCUUAAUCUCCUCAUUCAUAAAAAUGGACAUAAGACCAUCUAAUUAAUAAGACUGUUGGGGAAGUUUAAGAGAGAACAUAGGAAAAGUGUCUGCUAUGCAGCAAGUUUCCAACAAAUGUUUCUUUUUCUUUUUACCUUUGAUUAAUUCCUUUGGGUAUUCUUUCAAUGUUUAUUGAACAUCUAUUAUAAGCUGGAUCUUGUGCCAAGCACUUGAAAGUCAAGAGAUAAAGAUUUGAGAAAUGCAGUGUGUGGCAAGGAUGGGAAAGAUACUAUAGCAAUUCAACGGGCUGAGUGGUUUACACAACCAACUGAGAGGGACAGAUGAAUCCUGUCCAGGAGCUCAGAUGACACUUGACCCUGGCUUUGAAAAUGUGCACAGGACAUCUCCAAGACAGAGACACCAGGAGAGGGCAUUUUAAGCAGGGAGACUUGGAACAAAGGCUCUGAUGCCUAGAAGUGCACGAUCUGUCAGUGGCAGGAGACGAGGCUAAAGAAAGCAAGAACCAGAUUAGAAGCAUGCAAGCAAUCGAUGCAAAGACGUUGGACCUUAUCAGAGGGCAUUGGGAAGCCUUUUAGAGGAUAUAAGCACGGAAGUGACAUGAUCAGAUUUGCAUUUUAGAAAAGCUGCCUAGCAUCUGAGGAAUGGCCUGGAGUGGAAAGGGGGGCAAGCAGUAGAGUAAGAACAGAGGCAAGAACAAGAACAAGAAGCAAGUGGGAUGGAAGUAAUUCAGGGGACAGAUAAGGCUCAAAUUAGGGAACUAGCAGCGGGAAAGAAGAGGUUGUGAACUAAGUGAAAAUUUAGCUUAGCGAAAUAAAGGAAUAAGAGUUGACUUGGGUGUCUGACUCAGGAAAGAGGGAGGGUGGUGACGCCAUGAACUCAGAGAGGAAACAAACUUGAUAUAAAUGAUCCCCAAAUGUGCCUUCUUCAGAUUCCAGAGACGCUGGGAAUAGGAGUGACCUUGUGAUGAGCUAAUGAUGUUCCUCUGAUUAGGGACGAGAUUAAGGGGUUAAUAUCCUCAAGCCUUUUAAGGCUGAGAGAAAAGGAGUACCUCCUUUCAUGUCCCAUUUGUGUACUUUGGAGGAGGAGUCAAUGUGAUUGUUUCAAAGAGUAUGAACAUUACUAUAUUAUUUUACAACUGCUUUGCAACCAUAACUACUAUAUUAUAUGAUAUAAUGUGG